ACCNCCCUUUGUGCAUCACCGCGUGAGUGCUCCUUUGGGUCGGUUCGAUCCGAGUGGGGCUUGCGCCUUUUACACGAACGUGCAGUGUAGAAUGUCUUUUGCGAUUGUACGCAAUCAAUACAACUUUCAACAACGGAUCUCUUGGCUCUCGCAUCGAUGAAGGACGCAGCGAAAUGCGAUACGUAAUGUGAAUUGCAGAAUUCAGUGAAUCAUCGAAUCUUUGAACGCACCUUGCGCCCCUUGGCAUUCCGAGGGGCACACCCGUUUGAGUGUCGUGAAUUUCUCAACCUCCUGCUGUUUCUUGAUAGCAGGAGGCUUGGACUUUGGAGGCGCUUGCUGGCCUCUCUUCAGAAGCCAGCUCCUCUUAAAUGGAUUAGCAGGGUCUGCCUUUGGNCGAUCCUCGACGUGAUAAGCUGCUUCUACGUCUU
rnacentral:rRNA from 1 species